rnacentral:rRNA from 1 species
UACGAAGGGGGCUAGCGUUGCUCGGAAUGACUGGGCGUAAAGGGCGCGUAGGCGGUGGACACAGUCAGGCGUGAAAUUCCUGGGCUCAACCUGGGGGCUGCGUUUGAUACGUGUUUGCUAGAGUGGGGAAGAGGGUCGUGGAAUUCCCAGUGUAGAGGUGAAAUUCGUAGAUAUUGGGAAGAACACCCGUGGCGAAGGCGGCACUCUGGGACGGUACUGACGCUGAGACGCGAAAGCGCGGGGAGCGAACAGG